CAUGAGCUCAGCCCGCUAGACCCUGCCCGUCCCAGACCAGACAAAGCUCUACAGGGAGGGACCGGUGCAGCCGGGACACUCCUACCCCCACCCCGAGCAAGGCCCGAGGGGUGCCAUGACACUCAGCGUUCCAAGGCCUACGUCCUUUCCUGGAUCUGAGCCAAACCAACCAGGCAAAUGGUUUUGCAUACCAGUCUAAUCAAUUGUUAAACUGCCCAUCUUCCUCUAUGCAACAGUGAGUGACAUCAAGGGAUAUUGCCUGUACCUAGGAUGGCAUCCUACAUCAAGGAAGGCAUUCCAGCAACUCCAGUCUCAUCAUCAGGUCCAAAUGAUAUAAUCAAAUGUCAGGCUAUAAAAGUGAAGGACCUGACCCUUAUCAAUGUCUACAAACCUCCAUCUGCCAGCUGGCCAACUCCUCUCCUCCCCACCUUCUCAGGACUUUCAGUCUACUGUGGCAAUUUUAACUUACACCAUUCCCACUGGCAAUACACUGAUGAUGAUGUGGGUGGAGUAAAGCUAGAGGAGUGAGUGUUGAUGGUCGACCUGCAGCUUCACUCUUUAUGAUCCUAAGCAGCCACCACUUUUCAUAGCAACAGGUGGGCCUUGGGUUCUUCUCCUGACUUUGCCUCUUCUACAGUUAGAAGAAGCUAUGCUAAGAAUGGAAAAGU